AUAUCAGUCAUGCAUAGCAUAUCAAUAAGCGGAGGAAAAGAAACUAACAAGGAUUCCCUUAGUAACGGCGAGUGAAGCGGGAAGAGCUCAAAUUUGAAAUCUUCAAGGUUUUCACCUUGACGAAUUGUAGUUUAAAGAAGUGUUUUCUGUUGAAGUUUUGGUAAAAGUUCUUUGGAAUAGGACAUCAUAGAGGGUGAGAAUCCCGUAUUUGACCAUUACUUUCAGCUUUGUGAUACACUUUCAAAGAGUCGGAUUGUUUGGGAAUGCAGUCCAAAAUGGGUGGUAAAUUUCAUCUAAAGCUAAAUAUUGGCGAGAGACCGAUAGCGAACAAGUACCGUGAGGGAAAGAUGAAAAGAACUUUGAAAAGAGAGUUAAACAGUACGUGAAAUUGUCAAAAGGGAAGCGUUUGACACCAGUGUUGUUUUCUCGAAAAUCAAUUAAAAAGAGUUGGAUUUUGUGUUGUAUUGACUUUAUCGGCUUUCUUCACUCUUUUCCAGCUUUUUUUAAUGCACUUUUCGUUUAACAAGUCAACAUCAGUUUCUUUUGUUGUAAAAAGGUCAUUGGAAGGUGGCUUUCUCUUCAGGAGAAAGUGUUUAUAGCCUUUGACUCAUGUCAAUCGGAGAGACUGAGGUCUGCAGCGUAGAUCCUUCGGGGUUAGAUACAUUUGUGUUAAGUUAUAGCUUUUCAUAGACAACUUGUUGACUAUGUUUAGUCUUGUAGCUUACUCGCUUAUGCUAUUUUACCUACGCUUAGGAUGUUGAACUCUAUCACACACAG
rnacentral:rRNA from 1 species